UCUUUCUUUUCUCGUAUUUUUUUAUGUUAGUAUCGGUACGAAGCGGUCUCUUUUAUUUCAUUUUAUACAUAUAUAUUGUGAUAAUUAACAGUGACGAUGCGCACGGCGAGCGAGUUUGCCGAAGCGUCGACUUAAUGAUAGCUUUGCAUUUGAUUAAAGCGCUCGGUCGUGUGAUUUGCGGCGUUAUAAAGCGUCAUUCGCUCGCACAAGUCCACAGCCUCGACGACAGAUUGAAAUUAAACGGGAAGACGCAUCGGCAUCUUAAAAGGCGCAUAAGAAAAUAAAAGAAAAUCGAGCGUUAUUUGUUCAAGUCAAAUGAGUUUCUUGCGUCGUGCGGGCUCAUACAUACCGAUUUCGUGGAAACGUGGCCUUUAUUAGCGUCCCUGCACGUCACAGACAUUUAAAUACCACACUAAAAGCGUCAAUCUACAUACGUCCUAUUGAGCAAAUCCUAAAAGUGAUUUAUACCGGGACCCCUAUUCGAUUGAAGUAGAUUACAAAUAAUGAAUAAAAUUGCAUACGAAAUGAGGAGACCCAGAGUCCGUGGGUGUACGGGUGUUUGAGCGGGGCGCGGGGGGGGAUGCAAGCGGGAUUAUUGCCAGUAAAUACUUAGCUAGAGAUACCUCUGAUGUGCUCCGGUGUGGGAUCCUGGAUACGUCAAACUCAUUCGCGUUUUAAUCUGCGCGCUCACAUCGCCAGGUUUCCCGUAUCAAUAACGUACGUCGGGAAACGGUUCGAAUUGCGACCACUCUGAUUAAACACUGAAAUACCAAUAACGAGACUGCGCGUUUCUCUCUCGAAAUCACCGCUUGUGGUAAAAUCACAUUAGCGUUGAUAGGAUUGCGUAGAGGAUCGAAUAGAACAAAUGAAAACUGACAGUCGAUUAGUUUGCAAUUGUUUAUUUGUUUAAUACACUCUAAUGUAGUACUUACGUCUUUUAGCACGGCUUUUUCUAAAAUUAGACUAUCCUGACCAUGCAUACUUAAAACUUAAUGUUACAAACUAUAUUUGUAUGAUUUAUAUUUAGUUUUCACGAACACAAGCUUUUGCAAAACAUUACGAGUAUAAGUGACAAUUCAAAAGUUGUGUGGUUAAAUUUCAGUUCUUGUAGAUUUCCAGUUAUAAUUAUAUAUAUUAGACAAUUGACAGACAUUUAGUGAACAAACUGGUAUUUUUACUUAACAAAAAUUGUAACGCUAAUCAGAUAGCUUUACGAGUUCCUUAACUUAUGACAAAUAUAGUGCAUGAUUUAAAACCAGAAAAGAAAAGUUUUAAUAGCAUAUCAAUUUGCAGAGUCCGCUAACUUGAAGCUUACUAUUAAAGCUGACAUAAUACACAAAGCAAUAGUAGCUCCUAGAGAUGGAUGAUAAUUACAAAAUAGGUUUGUCUGAUGUUAUUAAGUUUGCCAGAACAAAAGAAAGGUAGAGGCCGCCCGCCAUCGACCUGGUGGUCAAACAUCGAAGGAGACCUUAAGAAAUCUCAAUUGCCAAAACCGACAACCCAGGACAGAUCAGCCUGGCGCCGUAGAGUGAGGAGACCCGACCCCAGAUAACGAGAACAGGGACGGAUAGUAGUAGUAGGUUUGUCUGAUGUUUAGCGGUGGCUAAAAAAAAUUUUCAACACCACGUAAUUGCCGCUAGCAAUUUGAACUAAAGCCCUUCAAAUGGUUGUGGCAAAAAUAGGCGAUCUCUGUCCGAUCGAACCAGGAAUGAGAAGAUUCGCACGAGAAUCAAGAUAACGACAUAGCCAAAAGAUAACGACAUUACGAGCUUGAAGUAGUAGUGGGCAAAGUACAUUUGACUGCAUUUGCCAUCAUAGGAAGAAUAAGUGGCGGCUGAGGCCAGAAAGCUCUCGGGUAGCGACCGCACACUAAAAACACAGCGUGAGUAGACUGAGCGUCGUGAGUUCAGUGGACUGAGGACUUGCUUAAGGUAGCUGGAAUCCGCUAUAUGCGGGUUGCACAAGGCUGGCCACAGUGGCGAAGAUUGAAAGAGCCUAUAUGAGCUGAUGAUUAUAAGAAAUAAGAGAGAAACAUAUCAACAUAGCCGUGCCAUCUAAAAACGGUAUUUUAGUAUUAAUCCGAACUUUCAAAGUUUUUACUUAUUUAAAAGAGAAAAAAAAAAGGUUUCGCUUCGAGUUAUUACUUUAUAGAAGGUCAAAGUCUAUAGAGCUGUAUUUGUAAAUUAUGAGUUCAUAAACGAGAUAAAACCUAAACAUUUACCUAAUCACUAUUCAUUGAGUGAGUUCGAUCAAAAGUUAAUUAUUUAAAGCUAAUACAAUUUUUUUUUCUUUUCCUCCUUAAAGCCGAAAGAUAAGUAAACGUUUUCUUGGUGGAAGGAAAGGACAAGUUGCAAAAACAAUUUAAGACAAAAGAGUAGCGAAAACCAGAAAUGAAUCGGAACGGGAGGAGUGCUUCCGCCGGCCUCGGCGGGUGAGGGCGCGGAAAUAACACGGGAGGUUAUCUGCCACAGUAUUAGGAAAAUAAUAAACAUUGCCUAAAAAAUAAAAAAGGUCAAGUAUG